rnacentral:piRNA from 1 species
UCAAGUAGAGGUACUUGUGGAAAGGACCGA